UCAAGUCCUCAUGGCCUUUAUGACCAGGGCUACACACGUACUACAAUGGCCGGUACAAAGGGCAGCGACACAGCGAUGUGAAGCGAAUCCCGAAAAGCCGGUCUCAGUCCGGAUUGGAGUCUGCAACUCGACUCCAUGAAGUUGGAAUCGCUAGUAAUCGCAGAUCAGCGUGCUGCGGUGAAUACGUUCCCGGGCCUU
rnacentral:rRNA from 1 species